UUGAAAAUGGAGAACUACGGGUUGGGGAGGCGCUCUGCUUCCCUGAGGCGGGGCUCUGCGGCGGCCAAUGAGGCGGGACCACGAGGGCUCCAAAACACCCAAGAGGGGCGGGAGAGCGGGUACUGUGUUAGGGGUUGGCGGUGGCAACGAAGCCUCUGCCUUUCGUCGCUCUGGAAAACGAGGCUGGGGGCCUCGCAGGGCUUCCGGUAUUGUGCCGGUUGUUCCUUGUCACCGCUUGUCCUUUUGGAGCCAAGACAUUCUUAAUAGGCAAGAUCUUAACCUGCUGUCCCAAGAGCUUUCUUUGCCUCCUUUCUCACCUCUGCAGUUACUUAAAACCACCUGGCAUCUUGUCAAGGUAGCUUCAGCACCUCCUUCAUGUCACACGCCCCAGAAGUGAAUGCCAUUGCCUGGUGUCUCCCCUACUCCUCUACUAGCACCGGAAAAUCUGUAACGCACUUUAAAGCAUGAAGAGAGCACCAAACCCACACAGCGAAGAGGAGAAUCGGGAUAAAGGCACAGAAAAACUAGAAGCGACAGAGUGUUCGCAUACUGGAUUCCUCCGGAGCUACUGCAUAAUCUGUAAGGUCAGCUAGACAUGAAAGUUCAAGGACUCUUUUUGAAAAAUGUGAGAACUUUCAAGACAGUGACAGCAGAGCAACGAGCCAAGUGCAAGGCCCUGCAACUCCACGAGUCUCCUCAUGAAGCUAGCUAGUGCCUUGGUUUCCUCCUCCCUUCUUCUUUUGUUUCCACUCCGGAUCAGGCCUUCUUUACUUACACAACCAACUUCCACUUGCUUCUUAAAGCUUCUUUUAGCUGGGUGGGUGGUGGCGCACCCUUUUAAUCCCAGCACUCAGGAGGCAGAGGCAGGCAGAGCUCUGUGAGUUCGAGGUCAGCCUGGUCUACAAGAGCUAGUUUCAGGACAAGCUCCAAAACUACAGAGAAACCCUGUCUCGAAAAACCCAAAAAAAGGGGGGGGGCUAUCAUUUUCCAUACUUCUCAUUUUGUUGUGCUUUGGAUAUGCAGGGGGACUUUCCCUGAGUUCCUUUGUGCUUCAUUUGGCCCCGAUAACACCAUGGAACAUGGCCAUAUUUUUUUUAGUUAUAAACUGUACUAUUUUAUUUAUUAUUUAUUUUGGUUUUUCGAGACAGUGUUUCUGUGUGUAGCCCUGACUGUUCUAGAACUUGCUCUGUAGACCAAAGUGGCCUCAAACUCAGAGAUCUGCCUGCCUCUGCCUCCCGAGUGCUGGGAUGAAAGGCAUGCACCAUCACCGCCCAGUGUAAAUUGCUCUAUUUUAAAAUCUCAAGUUUUUAAUAUCUGCUAUCAAGGGCAGAAGCCAUGACUAUCAUCCUGAGCACUGCAGGGUCUCUGUCACCGAAGAAACAUUUGAGUUAUCAAUAAACGUUUGCAAAAAUUA